rnacentral:rRNA from 1 species
AAGGCCCUUCGGGGUACUCGAGCGGCGAACGGGUGAGUAACACGUGAGUAAUCUGCCCCAGGCUCUGGGAUAGCCACCGGAAACGGUGAUUAAUACCGGAUACGACAACUUCCUGCAUGGGAUGGUUGUGGAAAGUUUUUCGGCCUGGGAUGUGCUCGCGGCCUAUCAGCUUGUUGGUGAGGUAAUGGCUCACCAAGGCUUCGACGGGUAGCCGGCCUGAGAGGGUGACCGGCCACACUGGGACUGAGACACGGCCCAGACUCCUACGGGAGGCAGCAGUGGGGAAUAUUGGACAAUGGGCGGAAGCCUGAUCCAGCAACGCCGCGUGAGGGAUGACGGCCUUCGGGUUGUAAACCUCUUUCAGCACAGACGAAGCGCAAGUGACGGUAUGUGCAGAAGAAGGACCGGCCAACUACGUGCCAGCAGCCGCGGUAAUACGUAGGGUCCGAGCGUUGUCCGGAAUUAUUGGGCGUAAAGGGCUCGUAGGCGGUCUGUCGCGUCGGGAGUGAAAACCAGGUGCUUAACACCUGGCCUGCUUUCGAUACGGGCAGACUAGAGGUACUCAGGGGAGAAUGGAAUUCCUGGUGUAGCGGUGAAAUGCGCAGAUAUCAGGAGGAACACCGGUGGCGAAGGCGGUUCUCUGGGAGUAUCCUGACGCUGAGGAGCGAAAGUGUGGGGAGCGAACAGGAUUAGAUACCCUGGUAGUCCACACCGUAAACGUUGGGCGCUAGGUGUGGGAUCCAUUCCACGGG